GGGCGCGUAGCUCAGCGGGAAAGCACUCCCUUCACACGGGAGAGGUCACAGGUUCGAUCUGUCGCGCCCACCA
rnacentral:tRNA from 1 species